UACGGGGGGGGCAAGCGUUGUUCGGAAUUACUGGGCGUAAAGGGCUCGUAGGUGGCUAAUUAAGUCAGACGUGAAAUCCCUCGGCUUAACCGGGGAACUGCGUCUGAUACUGGAUGGCUUGAGUUCGGGAGAGGGAUGCGGAAUUCCAGGUGUAGCGGUGAAAUGCGUAGAUAUCUGGAGGAACACCGGUGGCGAAGGCGGCAUCCUGGACCGACACUGACGCUGAGGAGCGAAAGCCAGGGGAGCAAACGGG
rnacentral:rRNA from 1 species